GUUUUUUUUUUGGGGGGGGCUGAUGAUACUGCUGUAUAUUUCAUAGGAAAUUUAGCUGCAUCCCUGAGCCUGCCCACCAGAGAGACCAAUAGUAACACACACACACACACACACACACACACACACACACACCAUAGCUACCAUAAAUCUCUCCAGAAACUGCAAAUAUCUUCCCUGGGUGCAAAAUUAUAGCAAGUUGAGAAUCACUGGCUAAGAGAAUCUGCAAGGUCGGCUGCAAAUGUGGCUUAGUGGUAGAGUGUUUGCCUAGCAUGCAUGAAGCCCUAGGUUGGAUUCCACAGUACCACAUAAACAGAAAAAGCCAAAAGUGGCACUGUGGCUC